GAUGAACGCUAGCGGCGGGCCUAACACAUGCAAGUCGAGGGGCAACAUGAAGUCUAUUAUUAAUAGAUUUCGAUGGCGACCGGCGUACGGGUGCGUAACACGUACGUAACCUACCUUUUGCUAGAAGAUAGCCUGAGGAAACUCGGAUUAAUAUUCUAUAAUAUAAUAGAAUCGCAUGAUUUUAUUAUUAAAGCAGAAAUGCGGCAAAAGAUGGGCGUGCGCCCGAUUAGUUAGUUGGUAAGGUAAAGGCUUACCAAGGCUAUGAUCGGUAGGGGGCCUGAGAGGGUGAUCCCCCACACUGGUACUGAGAUACGGACCAGACUCCUACGGGAGGCAGCAGUGAGGAAUAUUGGUCAAUGGAGGAAACUCUGAACCAGCCACGUCGCGUGCAGGAAGAAUGCCUUACGGGUUGUAAACUGCUUUUGUUUAGGAAUAAAAAUUCUUACGUGUAAGAAUCAUGAAUGUACUAUACGAAUAAGUGUCGGCAAACUCCGUGCCAGCAGCCGCAGUAAUAC
rnacentral:rRNA from 1 species